UCUACACAGAUCGCGAAAGUUUUAUCUCGCUGAUUCUUCUCGAACUGGCGACACUUCGCGAAAUAAGGAGGGAACGCAUUCAAGCAAAGAUAACCGUCGACCGACUUUCUUGUUGUUAUAAAGCACUUACAUGUUUCCAAAGGUGUAAACGGUUUGGUUGCUAGUGAAAUGUGGGACAUUGCGAAUCAUCACUUGUCAAUUUCGUUUUCACUUGUAUCGUCAGCGAGGGAAGCUAAAGAGUCGAACACGUUAUGUGGUUCGAGUAAAAUGGUCGAUUCGAAUGCAAACCGCAUAGAAUUGAAUAAUGGUCACUGCACCAAGUCGCGGGCACGAAGGGGUUAAUGGUUCGGCCGUUCGUUGGACAGCACUUGAACAGCGAAGGAAAAGGCGUUGCUUCCCGUGUUACGGCACUGCGUAUUCCUUGCUCGGUUUUGCGCAAUCCAAUCGCAACGCGAAAAGAAGAAGCGGCUGGAUGAGGUCAGCGGAUUUCAUUUCGUCAACGAGAUUAUUUUAGAAAUUAUGGUAGCGCAGUGAAUCCUCUGUUACUUGAAUUUUCGUUGAUGACAUAGAGCCUCGAAUUCAUUCGAUUUAUAUUAGAGAAGAUCUUGGAUACUUCAGGGAUGAAUUAAUUUGUUCCAAUAAACAAAACUUGAAACUGAUAUUGGCUAUUGAGAAAUUCAAUUAUGAAUAUUUUAGAAAAUAACGCGAUGAUGGGUUUGCAAAUGAAUUCAUGUGCAUCGAUACUGUAGAUAAAUAUGUAUCAUAUCGAUGUUAUCGACUUGAAAAUUUAAACCGUGUUUAAGUUAAACAAUUUAUUAACCGUGAUUCGUUAAAUAGAAAUUAGAAUUUUACUUAUAAGCUGAAACCAGGGAUUCGAACCGCUGCUGAACCCUAACCCAAACCCGGUUAAUGAAGGGAAGGUUACUGUAACCCAUACUAACCACGAAGAAACGGUUCUUGAAUUGUAGGAAGAGCGGGUUAACCUGCUCGGAGUGGGUUACUAGUAGAAGAAGACAUCCUAGACAUCCAGACAAGUCAAAGAUAUGUGAACUUACAGGCAAUAUUAAAAUCAAACGAAACUAGAUUGUUUAAAAUGUACGAGUAUAUAAUGAAUGUUAGACACACACGUUCACUACACGUUCUAA